rnacentral:rRNA from 1 species
GUUUGAAGAUUUUUUAAUUUUAAAUAUGACCUGCUCAAUGAAUAAUAAUUUAAAUAGCUGCAGUAAUUUGACUGUACAAAGGUAGCAUAAUAAUUUGUCUUUUAAUUGAAGACUGGAAUGAAGGGUUAAACAUAAAAAAUACUGUCUAAAUUUUUAUUUUAGAAAUUAAUUUUUUUGUGAAAAAUCAAAAAUUAUAUAAAGGGACGAAAAGACCCUAUCAAGUUUUAUAUAAAAUUUUUCUUUAUAUGAAAGAUUUUGUAUUUAUCUGGGGCGGAUAAAAAAUAUUUAACUUUUUUAAAAUUUAAUAAUUAAUUAAUUUAUUAACAAUCUUUUUUUAAAAAAUUUUUAAUUACUGUAGGGGUAACAGCGUAAUUUUUCUUUUAAGUACAAAUUAAAAUAAAAGUUUACGACCUCGAUGUUGGAUUAUUUUUACCUAUAAAUGAAGAAGUUUAAAAGGUAUGUCUGUUCGACAUAUAAAAAUUUACA